UACGUAGGGGGCUAGCGUUGUCCGGAUUUAUUGGGCGUAAAGAGCGUGUAGGCGGCCAGGUAGGUCUGCUGUGAAAACUCGAGGCUCAACCUCGAGAUGUCGGCGGAAACCAUCUGGCUAGAGUCCGGAAGAGGAGAGUGGAAUUCCUGGUGUAGCGGUGAAAUGCGCAGAUAUCAGGAGGAACACCGGUGGCGAAGGCGGUUCUCUGGGCCUGUACUGACGCUGAGGAACGAAAGCGUGGGGAGCGAACAGG
rnacentral:rRNA from 1 species